rnacentral:rRNA from 1 species
GACGAACGCUGGCGGCGUGCUUAACACAUGCAAGUCGAACGGUGAACUCCGCUUGCGGGGGGGUCAGUGUCGCACGGGUGUGUAACACGUGGGCAACCUGCCCUCUGCUCUUGGAUAACACCACGGAAUUGGGGCUCAUAUCCGAGAUGAUCGCUGAUCGCAGGGUCUGGGGGUGUGAAAAUUUAUCGGCUGGGGAUGGGCGCGCGGCCGAUCAGCCAGCUGGUGGGGUGGUGGCGUACCAACGCGACGACGGGUAGCCGGCCGGAGAGGGUGGCCGGCCACAAUGGGACAGAGACACGGGCGAGACUGCUGCGGGAGGCAGCAGUGGGGGAUAUUGCGCAAGGGGCGGAGGCGUGACGCAGCGACGCCGCGUGGGGGAUGACGGCCUUCGGGUUGUAAACCGCUUACCGCAGGGACGAAGCGGAAGUGACGGUAGCUGCAGAAGAAGCACCGGCUAACUACGUG